UUGACCUCAGAUCAGGUAGGAC
rnacentral:rRNA from 1 species